AAGCGAAAGCAUUAAGUAUUCCACCUGGGGAGUACGCCGGCAACGGUGAAACUCAAAGGAAUUGACGGGGGCCCGCACAAGCGGAGGAACAUGUGGUUUAAUUCGAUGAUACGCGAGGAACCUUACCCGGGCUUAAAUUGCACCUGAAUAAUGUGGAAACAUGUUAGCCGUAAGGCAGGUGUGAAGGUGCUGCAUGGUUGUCGUCAGCUCGUGCCGUGAGGUGUCGGCUUAAGUGCCAUAACGAGCGCAACCCUUAUCUUCAGUUACUAACAGGUCAUGCUGAGGACUCUGGAGAGACUGCCGUCGUAAGAUGUGAGGAAGGUGGGGAUGACGUCAAAUCAGCACGGCCCUUACGUCCGGGGCUACACACGUGUUACAAUGGGGGGUACAGAAGGCCGCUACCUGGCGACAGGAUGCCAAUCCCCAAAACCUCUCUCAGUUCGGAUCGAAGUCUGCAACCCGACUUCGUGAAGCUGGAUUCGCUAGUAAUCGCGCAUCAGCCAUGGCGCGGUGAAUACGUUCCCGGGCCUUGUACACACCGCCUGUC
rnacentral:rRNA from 1 species